rnacentral:lncRNA from 1 species
CUAAAAUUAUACUAUUACAAAAAUAAUGGCUUUAGGGUUACUACUUCCAUGUAUCAAAAGAAUGUUCCAGUUCUGCUCAUUAACCAUAUUAAGUAUUCUUAAACUAAUCUAAUUUUAUUGAGAAUAUUUUGACAGAUAACAAAUUAUUACAAUACAGUGGUUUUCUAGGCAUCUUUAAAAGCAGUUUUAUAAUUUCAUGUAGUCAAAUACUCAGUCAAUUCAAUAUGAAAGUUUAUUUAUCUUGAAAUAAAUGCUGUUUUAUAGGGAAAAGGAAUGUUCAAUUCUCUGUAUCACAUAUGAAGCUGUUUGGACAGCAUGGCAUUGUAAUUGAUUACACCAAAAUGAUUGUUAAUACAUUGCAUGAAGAUCAAUUCUCAGAAUUCUCUUCUUUUGGAGCUUGACCAUAAAAAAAGGAGAAUAUUGACAGCUGAAGAUGUCACCGCAAGCAGAAAAUCCUAAGUCUACUUUCACUUGCAGUCUUUCCAGAAUGUCUUCUGAGAUGGUACAUCUGACUCUUAGAGAUGGUUUGAUACAGUUAUCAGCACACUCUCGUGCAGUGAAAUCUAUUUUGUAACUACUGUUG